rnacentral:lncRNA from 1 species
CGGUGGCUUCGUCGGCUGCCACAACAAAAAUGUGUACUCUUGGGGGUACUCGAUGACCAGAGUUGAGAAACAGUGGGAUGGAGGACUUAUAAGAGAUGAGCCAUCACGGAAUUAUUACUCUGACAAGUUUAUGCCAAGUAAGCUGGUGGGAGGAAGUUGGGUGGUGUACGAGGGCCGUGAGUAUUCAGGGAACCUGUACAUCCUGUCAGAAGGAGACUACCCCAACUUCACCAGCAUGGGCUGUCCUCCGAACUGUGUCAUACGCUCGCUGAAGACUGUCCCACUGGUAUUCUCAGUGCCCUCCACUCUCUGUUUGGUCUGGAGUGUUUGGAGGGCAGGGAGAUCACAGUGGACACAGAGGUGGUCAAUAUGCUGGAGGAGGGCUACAACAACCAUCUACUCUCUGUCCGAGUCAACCGAGGCUGCUGGGUCCUGUGUGAGCACAGUAACUACAGGGGGCGCCAGUUCCUAUAGAACCCAUUGAAAUCACCAACUGGCCCAAGUUCAGUCAGCUUCUCACCAUUGGCUCAAUGUUACCCAGUACUACAGGUUCGUAUCCCACUCUACUUCCUUUACUUCAUUCUGGUUAUAAUAUACAC